rnacentral:rRNA from 1 species
GACGAACGCUGGCGGCGUGCUUAACACAUGCAAGUCGAACGGAAAGGCCUGCUUUCCCUUGUGGAUUGCGGGUACUCGAGUGGCGAACGGGUGAGUAACACGUGAGUGAUCUGCCCCCAACUUGGGUAUAAGCCUGGGAAACUGGGUCUAAUUCCCGAUAGGACUGCAGGGUGGUGCCUGUGGUGGAAAACGAUUUUCUAGUGGUUGGGGAUGAGCUCGCGGCCUAUCAGCUUGUUGGUGGGGUAAUGGCCUACCAAGGCGGCGACGGGUAGCCGGCCUGGGAGGGUGGACGGCCACAUUGGGACUGAGAUACGGCCCAGACUCCUACGGGAGGCAGCAGUGGGGAAUAUUACACAAUGGGCGGAAGCCUGAUGCAGCGACGCCGCGUGGGGGAUGACGGCCUUCGGGUGGUAAACUCCUUUCGACCGCGAGGAAGCCACCUGGUUGGAAGGGUGGUGACGGUAGUGGUAGAAGAAGCACCGGCUAACUACGUG